CCCGCACAUGUUGAAUCAUUCAUCAUUAACUGAAAACAGAAUUUGAAAACUACAGUCUGGAUAGUUGGGGAGCUCACUGCUUCUGUGUCAUGAAAGCUUUUGAAUCCUUUGGCAGACAGAGAUUUCCCUAUUCUGGACUUUCAUAUGAAUGGAAUCAUACAAUAUGUGAACUUACUGUGACUAGUGUCUCUCAUUUAGCAUAAAUGAAGGUAUUGACUUUUGUCAGAUGCUUUUUCUGUAUCUAUUAAAAUAACCAUGGGAUAUUUGUUUUUUAUUCUAUUGAUACGAUAUAUCCUAUUAAUUGAUUUUUGGAUGUUCAGACAACCUUACAUUCCUGGGAUGUAUUCCACUUGGUCAUGCUGUAUAAUUCAUUUCAUAUGUUGCUGGAUUUGGCUUACUAGUAUUUUGUUGAGAUUUAUUGCACUCAAAU